rnacentral:rRNA from 1 species
AUGAACGCUAGCGACAGGCUUAACACAUGCAAGUCGAGGGGCAGCACAGGUAGCAAUACCGGGUGGCGACCGGCGCACGGGUGAGUAACGCGUAUGCAACUUGCCUAUCAGAGGGGGAUAACCCGGCGAAAGUCGGACUAAUACCGCAUGAAGCAGGGGCCCCGCAUGGGGAUAUUUGCUAAAGAUUCAUCGCUGAUAGAUAGGCAUGCGUUCCAUUAGGCAGUUGGCGGGGUAACGGCCCACCAAACCGACGAUGGAUAGGGGUUCUGAGAGGAAGGUCCCCCACAUUGGUACUGAGACACGGACCAAACUCCUACGGGAGGCAGCAGUGAGGAAUAUUGGUCAAUGGGCGUAAGCCUGAACCAGCCAAGUCGCGUGAGGGAUGAAGGUUCUAUGGAUCGUAAACCUCUUUUAUAAGGGAAUAAAGUGCGGGACGUGUCCCGUUUUGUAUGUACCUUAUGAAUAAGGAUCGGCUAACUCCGUGCCAGCAGCCGCGGUAAUACGGAGGAUCCGAGCGUUAUCCGGAUUUAUUGGGUUUAAAGGGUGCGUAGGCGGCCUUUUAAGUCAGCGGUGAAAGUCUGUGGCUCAACCAUAGAAUUGCCGUUGAAACUGGGGGGCUUGAGUAUGUUUGAGGCAGGCGGAAUGCGUGGUGUAGCGGUGAAAUGCAUAGAUAUCACGCAGAACCCCGAUUGCGAAGGCAGCCUGCCAAGCCAUUACUGACGCUGAUGCACGAAAGCGUGGGGAUCAAACAGGAUUAGAUACCCUGGUAGUCCACGCAGUAAACGAUGAUCACUAGCUGUUUGCGAUACACUGUAAGCGGCACAGCGAAAGCGUUAAGUGAUCCACCUGGGGAGUACGCCGGCAACGGUGAAACUCAAAGGAAUUGACGGGGGCCCGCACAAGCGGAGGAACAUGUGGUUUAAUUCGAUGAUACGCGAGGAAACUUACCCGGGUUUGAACGCAUUCGGACCGAGGUGGAAACACCUUUUCUAGCAAUAGCCGUUUGCGAGGUGCUGCAUGGUUGUCGUCAGCUCGUGCCGUGAGGUGUCGGCUUAAGUGCCAUAACGAGCGCAACCCUUGCCACUAGUUACUAACAGGUGAUGCUGAGGACUCUGGUGGGACUGCCAGCGUAAGCUGCGAGGAAGGCGGGGAUGACGUCAAAUCAGCACGGCCCUUACAUCCGGGGCGACACACGUGUUACAAUGGCGUGGACAAAGGGAGGCCACCUGGCGACAGGGAGCGAAUCCCCAAACCACGUCUCAGUUCGGAUCGGAGUCUGCAACCCGACUCCGUGAAGCUGGAUUCGCUAGUAAUCGCGCAUCAGCCAUGGCGCGGUGAAUACGUUCCCGGGCCUUGUACACACCGCCCGUCAAGCCAUGGGAGCCGGGGGUACCUGAAGUCCGUAACCGAGAGGAUCGGCCUAGGGUAAAACUGGUGACUGGGGCU